UACGGAGGAUGCAAGCGUUAUCCGGAAUGAUUGGGCGUAAAGCGUCCGCAGGUGGCUAUGUAAGUCUGCUGUUAAAGAGUGAGGCUCAACCUCAUAAGAGCAGUGGAAACUACAUGGCUAGAGUGCGUUCGGGGCAGAGGGAAUUCCUGGUGUAGCGGCGAAAUGCGUAGAUAUCAGGAAGAACACCGGUGGCGAAAGCGCUCUGCUAGGCCGCAACUGACACUGAGACGAGA
rnacentral:rRNA from 1 species